rnacentral:rRNA from 1 species
UACGGAGGAUGCAAGCGUUAUCCGGAAUGAUUGGGCGUAAAGCGUCCGCAGGUGGCAAUGUAAGUCUGCUGUCAAAGCGUCCGGCUCAACCAGAUAAAGGCAGUGGAAACUACAUAGCUAGAGUAAGGUAGGGGUAGAGGGAAUUCCUGGUGUAGCGGUGAAAUGCGUAGAGAUCAGGAAGAACACCGGUGGCGAAAGCGCUCUGCUGGACCUUAACUGACACUGAGGGACGAAAGCUAGGGGAGCGAACAGG